GACGAACGCUGGCGGCGUGCCUAAUACAUGCAAGUAGAACGCUGAAGGAGGAGCUUGCUUCUCUGGAUGAGUUGCGAACGGGUGAGUAACGCGUAGGUAACCUGCCUGGUAGCGGGGGAUAACUAUUGGAAACGAUAGCUAAUACCGCAUAACAGUAGAUAUCGCAUGAUAUCUACUUGAAAGUUGCAAUUGCAUCACUACCAGAUGGAGCUGCGUUGUAUUAGCUAGUUGGUGGGGUAAAGACUCACCAAGGCGACGAGACAUAGCCGAACGGAGAGAGGGAUCGGCCACACGGGGACUGGGACGCGGCCCAGGCGCCUGCGGGAGGCAGCAGUAGGGAAUCUUCGGCAAUGGACGGAAGUCUGACCGAGUAACGGCGCGCGAGUGAAGAAGGUUUUCGGAUCGUAAAGCUCGGUUGUAAGAGAAGAACGGGUGUGGGAGGUGAAAGUGCACACGGUGACGGUAUCGUACCAGAAAGGGACGGCUAACUACUU
rnacentral:rRNA from 1 species